rnacentral:rRNA from 1 species
UACGUAGGGUGCGAGCGUUGUCCGGAAUUAUUGGGCGUAAAGGGCUCGUAGGCGGUUUGUUGCGUCGGGAGUGAAAACUCAGGGCUUAACCCUGAGCCUGCUUCCGAUACGGGCAGACUAGAGGUAUGCAGGGGAGAACGGAAUUCCUGGUGUAGCGGUGAAAUGCGCAGAUAUCAGGAGGAACACCGGUGGCGAAGGCGGUUCUCUGGGCAUUACCUGACGCUGAGGAGCGAAAGUGUGGGGAGCGAACAGG